rnacentral:tRNA from 1 species
GUAAUUAGCUGGUUUGUACCUGGAAAGCGUGUAUAGGGGUAACUCUAUCAGGGGUUCAAAUCCCCUUCUCUCUGCCA